rnacentral:rRNA from 1 species
CAGUCGAACGAGAGAAGAGAAGCUUGCUUUUCUGAUCUAGUGGCGGACGGCUGUGUAACACGUGAGCAAUCUGCCUUUCAGAGGGGGAUACCGAUUGGAAACGAUCGUUAAUACCGCAUAACAUAAUUGAACCGCAUGAUUUGAUUAUCAAAGAUUUAUCGCUGAAAGAUGAGCUCGCGUCUGAUUAGCUAGUUGGUAAGGUAACGGCUUACCAAGGCGACGAUCAGUAGCCGGACUGAGAGGUUGAUCGGCCACAUUGGGACUGAGACACGGCCCAGACUCCUACGGGAGGCAGCAGUGGGGAAUAUUGCACAAUGGAGGAAACUCUGAUGCAGCGAUGCCGCGUGAGGGAAGAAGGUUUUAGGAUUGUAAACCUCUGUCUUCAGGGACGAAAAAAGACGGUACCUGAGGAGGAAGCUCCGGCUAACUACGUGCCAGCAGCCGCGGUAAUACGUAGGGAGCGAGCGUUGUCCGGAAUUACUGGGUGUAAAGGGAGCGUAGGCGGGAUCGCAAGUCAGAUGUGAAAACUAUGGGCUUAACCCAUAAACUGCAUUUGAAACUAUGGUUCUUGAGUGAAGUAGAGGUAAGCGGAAUUCCUAGUGUAGCGGUGAAAUGCGUAGAUAUUAGGAGGAACAUCAGUGGCGAAGGCGGCUUACUGGGCUUUAACUGACGCUGAGGCGCGAAAGCGUGGGGAGCAAACAGGAUUAGAUACCCUGGUA